rnacentral:tRNA from 1 species
CGGGAAUUAGCUCAGCUUGGUAGAGCGCUCGUUUUGGGGGCGAGAAGUCGCAGGUUCAAAUCCUGUAUUCCCGACAA